CGUCUAUAUACGUAUAGCAUAUCAAUAAGCGGAGGAAAAGAAACUAACUAGGAUUCCCUCAGUAACGGCGAGUGAAGCGGGAAGAGCUCAAAUUUGAAAUCUUCAAGGUUUUACCUUGACGAAUUGUAGUUUAAAGAAGUGUUUUCUGUUGGAGUUUUGGUAAAAGUUCUUUGGAAAUAGGACAUCAUAGAGGGUGAGAAUCCCGUAUUUGACCAUUAUUUCCAACUUUGUGAUACACUUUCAAAGAGUCGGAUUGUUUGGGAAUGCAGUCCAAAAUGGGUGGUAAAUUUCAUCUAAAGCUAAAUACUGGCGAGAGACCGAUAGCGAACAAGUACCGUGAGGGAAAGAUGAAAAGAACUUUGAAAAGAGAGGUUAAACAGUACGUGAAAUUGUCAAAAGGGAAGCGUUUGACACCAGUGUUGUUUUCUCGAAAAUCAAUUAAAAAUGAGUGGAUUUUGUGUUGUAUUGACUUUAUCAGCUUUCUGCACUUUUUUCUUAUCUUUUUUAAUGCACUUUUCGUUUAACAAGUCAACAUCAAUUUCUUUUGUUGUAAAAGAGUCAUUGGAAGGUGGCUUUCUUUUCGGAGAAAGUGUUUAUAGCCUUUGACUUCUGCAGUCGGAGAGAUUGAGGUCUGCAGCGUAGAUCCUUCGGGGUUAGAUACAUUUGUGCUAAGUUAUAGCCUUUCAUAGACAACUUGUUGAUUAUGAUCAGUCAUGUAGCUUACUCGCUUAUGCUAUUUUACCUACGCUUAGGAUGUUGACGAUCAGCUGAGCGCG
rnacentral:rRNA from 1 species